UACGGGGGGGGCAAGCGUUGUUCGGAAUUACUGGGCGUAAAGGGCUCGUAGGUGGCCAACUAAGUCAGACGUGAAAUCCCUCGGCUUAACCGGGGAACUGCGUCUGAUACUGGAUGGCUUGAGUUUGGGAGAGGGACGCGGAAUUCCAGGUGUAGCGGUGAAAUGCGUAGAUAUCUGGAGGAACACCGGUGGCGAAGGCGGCAUCCUGGACCAAUUCUGACGCUGAGGAGCGAAAGCCAGGGGAGCAAACGGG
rnacentral:rRNA from 1 species